CCCACAGGGGUGCUGGAACAGCUGCGGUCCAUGGUGGAAGACUCCGAGGACGCCGCUCCAGGGCUACAGCCUGUAUAGUCCAUGCCCUCGUCUGUCUCAGCAUCCAUUAGGCUCGGGGGACCCUGGGAAGAAGGAGAGGGGCCCCAAGUUUUGGACUGUCUCGGCCGUCUACGGAGGGUCCAGACUGGACCUGACAGCAGCCUCCAGGAACUCCAGAGGCCUCUACCACCGUGAGCACAUGACCAGGAGAGGCCUGCCCGGUAGACCCCACAUCUAUCCACCUGCCCUUCGCUAUCCUCCAACUUUCAGUCCAUUCCUAGGAAGGCCCUGCCCUACAUCUGCGGGGCUAUAGAAGCUUGCCCUGGGCCUAAAUUUGCCAUGGUGAAGCUAAAGGGUAGGCUCUGCCCUCUGCCUGUGAGCCUGAGGCUCUUUUCUCUAGGACCAGAGCAGGAAGGUAUCAGAGAGGCGUCGGAAGACACCAACUGCCCAGGUCAGACGUACCCAGAGUCUCUGUCUUUUGCACAACACGUACCUCAGUUUUUGUAAACAUAUGCUAAAGGUUUUAAAAAGUAAAUAAAGAACCGAGACGAC
rnacentral:lncRNA from 1 species